rnacentral:rRNA from 1 species
AGAGCAGCAUUGGGUAUAAAGCGCGCGUAGGCGGUACUUCAAGUCAGGCGUGAAAGCCCCGGGCUCAACCUGGGAACCGCGCUUGAGACUGGAGAACUAGAGUUCGGGAGAGGAUGGUGGAAUUCCCAGUGUAGAGGUGAAAUUCGUAGAUAUUGGGAAGAACACCGAUGGCGAAGGCAGCCAUCUGGACCGACACUGACGCUGAGGCGCGAAAGCGUGGGGAGCAAACAGGAUUAGAUACCCUGGUAGUCCACGCCGUAAACGAUGAGUGCUAGACGUUGGGGCUCUCAGAGCUUCGGUGUCGCAGCUAACGCAUUAAGCACUCCGCCUGGGGAGUACGGCCGCCAAGGUUAAACUUAAAAAAUUAGACGGA